GGCAGCCCCUCCUCACAGCAUGAGAGGGAGUUGGGAGGGGCGGCACCCCAAAAAGAAGGCGUGGGCGGAGCCUGGGCAGAUGGAACCCUAGUGUUUCAUUCAAUUCAAUAAAAACCUACUGGACAUCCCUCGGGCGCCAGGCCCUGAGUUUUCAUCCCGAGGAAAUGUCGCUCGCUAAACUCGACACCUGCACAGGAGCUGUAAUAUAAAGAAGCAUGAAGAACCUCGUGUGAAAUGAAACCUUGUUGGACACAUCAGUGCUCCAGCCUAGCCGCUCUGGGAGACGCGAUGAGAUGGUCAGGAGCUCGCAGCCCCACAGAACCAUCGUGAAGGUGACAGCCGCAGGUGGACAGGAAUGCGGAGCUCUGAGCCAGGACGCCACACCCCAACAGCGACACUGUCCAGAACGAUGAGGACGCUGCGCACCUGGUGGGAGGGGCUGAGCCCGGACGCUCACCCGAGGCUGUCUAACAUCCACCGAGUCUGCGCACGGCCUUCUCUCCUGUCGAUGAGAACUGGGCUGGCACCGGGGACCCAAAUACGAGAAGGGCACCUCUCAGGGGGACACCGACACCGGGAUGCUCCCUCCACAGCCUGGUGAGGAAAUGACAGAGGACGUGUGAAGUGCAGGGGACGUGCAGCCAAGGAGCGACCAUAGAGCGAGAGUUCCAGUGGUAGAGAAGGGGGACAAGCAAGCGGGAACAGCAUUCAGGCAGGGGGAACUGCAUGGAUAAAGGCAUAGAGGACUGGGGAGCUGGACACGCUCCUUGGGCGAGGCAGGGGGUGGCGGAGGGGCAUGGGCCUGGACCAGGAGACUGUGAUGUCAUUGCAAAGCAUCCAGGAGGCCCAGCGAAGCAGUGUGGUUUGGGCUGGGGAGGCAAUGGGGAGCCAUGAGAGGCUUUAGAGCCGGGCAGCUGCAUGAGGGCGUGGGUUGUAGAACAAUCCUGGGAGCCGGGAGGAGGAGGAGGCCCAGAGGGUGGAGAGACGAGCUGGGGACCAGGGAGGGGGUGUCUCAACAGCCCAGGGUUAACACGGCAGCUCCUUAAAGUCACAGAGGGGAAUGUCAGCGCUUCUCUCUGAGCCACCCUGCUAGGAAGAGGGGUCUCUGUGGACCGCACCCCCACUUGCUACGAGAGGACAGUGGGAGGGCACUCCCUCCACCCCUGCUCUCUGUGUGUGUGUGUUGGGGUGGGAGGGGAGAAGGACGGGAGCCUGGGUCCUUUCCGGAAGCUGGAGGCAGGGUGCCAGCGGCAGGUUCCUGAGCAAUUCCCAGGACCAGGGGAGGGGGCCCCAGACCUGAGCUCAGCAGCUCCAAGAUGCGCCGGCCCCGCAGUCCCCAGCCCGCCCCACCCUUCCCGAGGUCCUGCAAGCCCCCCAACCCCACGCCCCCGUCCCACCCCGCAGAGUCCUCCAGGGGCUCUCUGCCUCGGCAACAGAAGUGAGACGUCCCCAGUGGUGCGGUGACUUCCACCGUCUCCCUCAGUGCCCACAGUGGCCCUGGGAGAGGGGCACCCGCGCCACCCCUAUUUCACAGACGGGGAAACGGAAGCUGGGGGAGGCUGCCACUCACCCGAGGACGCAGAGCCAGGCAGAAAUCGCGUGCUGCGACAUGGACCGGCCCCACCACCCCAGCCCCGCGUGCAGGCAGGGCCCGCACAUCUGGACACCCCAGCCUCGGUGCCCCAUGCCAGCAGAGAGAGUGGCCGUGGGGCCUCCCCAGCAGGCGCCCGGCCCUGGAGCCUCCAGGAACCUCGCUCCCUAUCACAGUCAUGCACAGGGCCUGCCUCCCGCUCUCUGUCCCCUGGGGCAGGAAACAGCCCGGAGAGAGAUAAGGAGAAGAGAAGGAGGGGGGGCUCCGGGGAGAGGGCCCUCCCCACACACAGCAGAAGAAUAGAAGGAAACGGCUGGAGAGAGGCCAGCGUCUGCCCGGGGCAGGGGGUUAUCUUGGUCUAUAAAUAACCCCAGCUCCAGGCUCCCAGGACGGGGAGGGAAGGGACUGAGGCCGAGGGCCUGGACUCUGCGGUGGGCUUGGGGUGGGGGCGGCGGUCAUUCCUGUUGGCCAGGGAUUCAGACCAAAGGGCCAAAGGGGAUAAUGGCCCGACCUGGGACCCUAACCCUCACCUCCCGCUAGGGGGCUCUGACCCUGUACUUGACCAGGGGGUCCUGCAGCCCCCCGUUCCUCCCCCGUCCCCAUCCACUCACCUGUCCACCUACCCUUCCCGCCUCCCUCCCUGCCUCUGAGCUUCCCAUUUGCUGUUCCUUCUGUCUGCAACACUCUUCCUGCCCUCUUCACCUUGCUGACUCGCCCUCCAGGCCCCAGCCUAGGCGCACACUCUCCAGGAAGCCUUCUCGGACCCCCAGUCGGGGGUCAGGGUGGUAGCCGGUGGCGGCCGCAGCCCGGUCUUCCCUUCCCACAGCACUUAUCACAGUUACAUUUUCACACUCACGCCCCUCCCACCCCCGAGGGAGCUGAUGUUUCCACAGCGCCUAGGGCGACGCCUGGCACACAGUAGGGGCUCAAUAAAUUCGUUUGGUGUCUCCAUGUUCCAUCUGUCUUCCCUCUCUCCCCCCUCCUCCCCUCCUCCCUUCCUGAGUGCCGACCUCAGCCAGGCUGCUGUCGGUCCCUGCCCCUGAGGAUGGCUGAGCCUGGUGAGGGAGGAGAGAGGGGAGCGGAGGGGAGCAGGGCCAGGCCACAAAUCACACGACACAGGUGGAGAGAGAGACCCACCGACUCCUCGGACUUCAGACGACUGAGCUCUCUGUUCAGGGGGAGGGGGUGAGGAGGUAAUGAGGGUGGGCUUCAAGGAGG
rnacentral:lncRNA from 1 species